rnacentral:rRNA from 1 species
GACGAACGCUGGCGGCGUGCUUAACACAUGCAAGUCGAACGAAGAGCGACGGAAGCUUGCUUCUAUCAAUCUUAGUGGCGAACGGGUGAGUAACGCGUAAUCAACCUGCCCUUCAGAGGGGGACAACAGUUGGAAACGACUGCUAAUACCGCAUACGAUCUAAUCUCGGCAUCGAGGAUGGAUGAAAGGUGGCCUCUACAUGUAAGCUAUCACUGAAGGAGGGGAUUGCGUCUGAUUAGCUAGUUGGAGGGGUAACGGCCCACCAAGGCGAUGAUCAGUAGCCGGUCUGAGAGGAUGGACGGCCACAUUGGGACUGAGACACGGCCCAGACUCCUACGGGAGGCAGCAGUGGUGAAUCUUCCGCAAUGGACGAAAGUCUGACGGAGCAACGCCGCGUGAGUGAUGACGGCCUUCGGGUUGUAAAGCUCUGUUAAUCGGGACGAAAGGCCUUCUUGCGAAUAGUGAGAAGGAUUGACGGUACCGGAAUAGAAAGCCACGGCUAACUACGUG